rnacentral:rRNA from 1 species
GACGAACGCUGGCGGCGUGCUUAACACAUGCAAGUCGAACGGAAAGGCCCUGCUUUUGUGGGGUGCUCGAGUGGCGAACGGGUGAGUAACACGUGAGUAACCUGCCCUUGACUUUGGGAUAACUUCAGGAAACUGGGGCUAAUACCGGAUAGGAGCUCCUGCUGCAUGGUGGGGGUUGGAAAGUUUCGGCGGUUGGGGAUGGACUCGCGGCUUAUCAGCUUGUUGGUGGGGUAGUGGCUUACCAAGGCUUUGACGGGUAGCCGGCCUGAGAGGGUGACCGGCCACAUUGGGACUGAGAGACGGCCCAGACUCCUAAGGGAGGCAGCAGGGGGAAAUAUUGCAAAAUGGGCGGAAGCCUGAUGCAGCAACGCCGCGUGCGGGAUGACGGCCUUCGGGUUGUAAACCGCUUUCGCCUGUGACGAAGCGUGAGUGACGGUAAUGGGUAAAGAAGCACCGGCUAACUACGUG